GGGCCUAUAGCUCAAUUGGCAGAGCAACGGACUUUUAAUCCGUGGGUCCCGGGUUCGAUUCCCGGUGGGCCCACCC
rnacentral:tRNA from 6 species